rnacentral:rRNA from 1 species
UACAGAGGUGGCGAGCGUUGUUCGGAAUUACUGGGCGUAAAGGGCGCGUAGGCGGCCUUCUAAGUCGGACGUGAAAGCCCCAGGCUUAACCUGGGAACUGCGUCCGAUACUGGGAGGCUUGGAUUCGGGAGAGGGAUGUGGAAUUCCAGGUGUAGCGGUGAAAUGCGUAGAUAUCUGGAGGAACACCGGUGGCGAAGGCGGCAUCCUGGACCGAGAUCGACGCUGAGGCGCGAAAGCUAGGGGAGCAAACGGG